CCUCCUCCCUCUCACCGACAUCCCUUGACACCUCUCUCCUCUGCCUCACCAAAACCAAAUCAAAUUAAGAUUGAACCAUGACAUGCACAUGCAGUAUGCAACAAAUAUAAAUCCUACAUAACAAACCCUAAAUUAACCUCUCUCUCUCUCUCUCCGCAUUAUCACGAAGAAAAGCAAGCAAACAGUAUCUAUCUCGAUCGGGUCCGCGCAAUUCAGAUAUUUCAUAAUUCCAUUAAGCUUGACUUAGAUGGGCUUGCCGCGCUUCGAGUCCGUGCCUUUGAUAGUGGUGAAGGUACUUUUUGAAAUGCUAAUGAUGACGAGAUGUUUGGGGCCAUUGAAUUCUCAAUUUCAUUUCUUGGUAGUGCACUCAUUGUUGAUGCUCUUUUUUCUUUUUUCUUUUUUUGAGAGGCGGAGGUAGUCGCCACUCUCUCUGUGUGUUUCAGUAACUGAGCUUCUUGAGAGGCAGAGGUAGUCGGCGGCGAUCUGUGGCUUCAGAUCCAUUAGCCACACAGAAAAGGAAAGGAAAAAGAUGAGGUGUGGUGUUUGGAGAAGGAGACGGGUGUCUGUAGGAUCCAUUCUGAUAGUGUGUGCUGGAAUGGGGCUGUUGAUGCUCAACUUAAGACAAGUUGAUUCUCCAUCGAGCCCCGAUUUCCCUAUGCAAAUUCACAAUUCGGAUUCAGCGUCUGAAAGCGGUGGUGGUAGGGUUGGGGUUAAGGACGAGCCAGAGAACAAGAUUAAGAGAAAAUCCAACUCCUUUGCUAUGGUGGAAGAGAUGGGAAAGGACUUCAAAGGAGGGUUCUGGGAGGAAAGUCUCAGAGUCAGGAAACUUAUUCAGCAUCACUUUGACUUGAAUGGUGCUUCCCAUGUCCGAAAUCUUUGUCCAGAACAGUUUUGUCAGCAUGGCUUUGUGAUGGGUAAAGCAUCAGAGGCAGGUUUCGGGAAUGAAAUGUACAAAAUUUUAAGUGGUGCAGCAUUGAGUAUACUUUUAAACUGGUCCCUGAUCAUUGGGCA